rfam:Mycobacterium sp. 852002-51759_SCH5129042 contig_254, whole genome shotgun sequence.
UCGGUUCCGGUUCACGUCCAGCACGGCAGCACGGCAGAUACAGCCGUGGGCCGGGGCGACCCGGGGCC